UAAGUUGCUGAAGUGCCUGAUGGACGU
rnacentral:piRNA from 1 species